UGAGCAUGUGGUUUAAUUCGACGCAACGACGAAGAAACCUUACCAGGACUUUGACAUCCUCUGACAGCGCAAGAGAUUGCGUGUUCUGCCUUCGGGUAGACAGAGAGACAGGUGGUGCAUGGUUGUCGUCAGCUCGUGUCGUGAGAUGUUGGGUUAAGUCCCGCAACGAGCGCAACCCUUAUUCUUAGUUGCCAUCAGGUAAUGCUGGGCACUCUAGGGAGACUGCCGGUGACAAACCGGAGGAAGGUGGGAUGACGUCAAAUCAUCAUGCCCUUUAUGUCCUGGGCUACACACGUGCUACAAUGGCCUGUACAAAGGGUAGCGAAGCCGCGAGGUGGAGCCAAUCCCAAAAAGCAGGUCUCAGUUCGGAUUGCAGGCUGCAACUCGCCUGUAUGAAGUCGGAAUCGCUAGUAAUCGCGGAUCAGCAUGCCGCGGUGAAUACGUUCCCGGGCCUU
rnacentral:rRNA from 1 species